rnacentral:rRNA from 1 species
UACGUAGGGCGCAAGCGUUGUCCGGAAUUAUUGGGCGUAAAGAGCUCGUAGGCGGUCUGUCGCGUCGGAUGUGAAAGCCCGGGGCUUAACCCCGGGUCUGCAUUCGAUACGGGCAGACUAGAGUGUGGUAGGGGAGAUCGGAAUUCCUGGUGUAGCGGUGAAAUGCGCAGAUAUCAGGAGGAACACCGGUGGCGAAGGCGGAUCUCUGGGCCAUUACUGACGCUGAGGAGCGAAGGUCAGGGGAGCAAACGGG